rnacentral:rRNA from 1 species
GAUCAGAUACCGUCGUAGNCCACACCCCAAACUAUGUCGACUAGUGGUUGGAGUUUUGGCAGAUAUGAAAGUUUUUGGACUCUGGGGGAAGUAUGAUCGCAAGAUUGAAACUUAAAGGAAUUGACGGAAAGGCACCACAAGGGGUGGAGCGUGCGGCUUAAUUUGACUCAACGCGGGGAAACUUACUAGGGUAGGACAUUAAAAUGAUUGACAAAUUGCUUGAUUUUUCUUGAUAUGGUGGGUGGUGGUGCAUGGCCGAUCUUAGUUGGUGGGGUGACUUGUCUGGUUAAUUCCGAUAACGAACGAGAUCCGAGCAGUUUUGUUGCGUUCCAAAAUGGACCAAUAGAAUAAUGGGAAGUUUCGGGCUAAAUCAGGUCUGUGAUGCCCUUCGAUACUCUGGGCUGCACGCGCGCUACAUUGGAUGAUAGAGCGUGUACGGCCUAACGGCUGUGUGAAUCACAAAUGUCAUUUCGUGAAUGGGAUAGUUUAUUGUAAUUGACGAACUUGAACUAGGAAUCCCUUGUAAGUACUUUGAAUCAUAAUGUAUUGAAUACGUCCCUGCCUUUUGUACACACCGCCCGUCGUUUCUUCCGACUGAUACUCAUUGUGAAUUGCGGGGCAUAACCGCUGUGAAUGCUGGGUAUUGGAGGAAGAAAAAGUCGUAACAAGGUUAUCGUAGGUGAACCUGCAGAAGGAUCA